GUCUCAAAUUUGUAAUCCUUUUUCCUGGGAUUACAGGUGUGUGCCAGUUUGCCUGGCCAAAAUCAAUAAAUAAAAUACAAAGUAGAGACAUCCUUCAAAGCUUUUCCCUUUUGGUAACUUUUCAGUAUCUAUCUUAUUUUGCAUAAGGAUGUUAUUUCUGCUUUCUUAUUUCAUCAGUUGAAAUGAAUACGAUAGUGUGUAAAGAAUUUGCAGGUUCUUAAAAUGAUGGUGAAUAAAUUGGUGUUCAUAUCAUUUACUUAAUGCCAUUUGCCAUCUUUUAAUGUUAUAGUAAUAGAAUAGGAAGGAAAUAAGUACAUAUACUUGUUUUCAGGACCUUUUCUUUGUAAAAUACUGAUUCAAAAUCUUCUACAGUUUACUUCAUUUUGACAUUUCAUCUUUCUUUUCAUCCAUUUCUUUUUACACUAUCUGCUCUAAUCAAGCAGUUUGGGUCAAUUCUAUCAGAAAAAUCUUUAUACUUUCUUGUGCUUUGACAGCUUAAGUUUCUCACCUAGAAUGUCUUUUGCUUCCCUUCUAAUCAUCUCUCAAGGCACAAUUCAACUUUUAUAUAUACCAUUAAUCUUUUUGUAAUCAUCCUAGCCUAAAACUACCUCUCCUCUUAAUUCUGUUUUCUUAAUAUAUGGUAUAAGAACCAUCCAUUUCAGAAUCAAUUGAGUAUUUUAUAGAUUCUGGGCUCCAUUCCAGACUUUCUAGCUUUUUGAGGGUAAGUCCCAGAAAUCUCUGUUUUUAAAGCUACUCUAUCUACAGUAAUCUUUGGAAGUACUAUUCUUAUAUUAUUCAGUUGUAUAGUACAUAUUGCAUUACUAUAUUUAGCUAUUCAUUGAUAAUUAUUGGGUCUUAUCUCCCCAUCUAUAUUAAACACAGAACCAUUUUCAUUAUUCCUACUCACACAUGAACACACACCCAACCACUUACUUUGUAAUUCUGAGUUGGAUAUUCAAUAGGCUUCAUGUAGCAAUAGCUCAAUAAUUUUAUAGAACUCAGUUGGGUGUGGUGGCACAUGCCUAUAAUUCCAGCAACUUGGGAGAGCAGGAAAAUUGGAAGUUGGAGGCCAUCCUCAUCAAUUUAGUGACACCAUGUCUCAGAAUAAAAUAAAUAAAUAGAAAUGUCUAGGGAUGUAGCUCAAUGGUAAAGUGCCCCUCAAUGGUAAAAUCUCCAGUUCAAAAAAAAAAACCAAAAAAUUUACAGAAAAUAAUAAUCAUGUUUUUAAUUUCAGUGCCCAGCAGGAUGCUGUUUUUGAAUUAAUUUCCAUGGGAUUUAAUGUAGCUCUGUGGUAUACCAAAUAUGCUUCAAGACUGGCGGGAAAAGAAAAGUAAGUUAAAAGAGAAAGGGUUUAUGUAUGUAAUAUGAUGUUUUUCAAAUAUUUUGAGUUUCAUUAUAAAAAGUUUAGGCUGUUGAUUAAAGAAUACCGUGUUGAGUGAGUGCACAUAUUUUAAGUUUUAGAAUUAGGGAGCCUAGUGUUAAGAGAAGAAAAAAUUUUAAAAUAAUCUUGUAAUGUGAAAGAUUUUCCUAAAUAAGACUCCAUACCAAGAAACUGUAAAAGGAAGGAUUGAAUAUUUGUCCGCUUAGAAGUCCUAUGAACAUAGCUUAAGAAGCACGUGACAGAAUUGGUUUAAAACAUUGCAAUGCAUAUGGUGAAUUAUUCAUUUCUUAAAAUGUAUACUCUUACAAAUCAACAAAGACCAUCAAAUUAGUUAAAAAUAAGCAAUGGACAUGAAUAGGCUAUUCAUAGAAAAAGAAAUGCAAAAGGUUUUAAGUAUAUGAAAAGAUCUUGAAGGUCUAAAAGAAUUACAAAAUAAAAUGAGGUGAAAUUUUUAUAAUAGCUAAAGUGUCUAGAGCAAUAGGAAAUUGGCAAAAUUGUUAUAAUUUAUCCAUACAUAGGAAUAGUAUGAUACCAUUGAAAAAUGAAGUUGAAUCUUGUGUACUGAUAUAAAAUUAUCUCUAAAGUGAUUAAAAUUAGGAGAGUAGCGAAUAUAGAU
rnacentral:lncRNA from 1 species